GUCCUACCUGCAAGUUAUUAGA
rnacentral:miRNA from 1 species